rnacentral:rRNA from 1 species
AUACGGAGGAUGCGAGCGUUAUCCGGAUUUAUUGGGUUUAAAGGGAGCGUAGGUGGGAUAUUAAGUCAGCUGUGAAAGUUUGGGGCUCAACCUUAAAAUUGCAGUUGAUACUGGUUUCCUUGAGUACGGUACAGGUGGGCGGAAUUCGUGGUGUAGCGGUGAAAUGCCUAGAUAUCACGAAGAACUCCGAUCGCGAAGGCAGCUCACCGGGCCGGAACUGACACUGAUGCUCGAAAGUGCGGGUAUCAAACAGGAUUAGAUACCCUGGUAGUCCGCACAGUAAACGAUGAAUACUCGCUGUUUGCGAUACACUGUAAGCGGCCAAGCGAAAGCGUUAAGUAUUCCACCUGGGGAGUACGCCGGCAACGGUGAAACUCAAAUGAAUUGACGGGG